rnacentral:rRNA from 1 species
UACGUAGGGUGCGAGCGUUAAUCGGAAUUACUGGGCGUAAAGCGUGCGCAGGCGGUUCGUUGUGUCGGUGGUGAAAGCCCCGGGCUUAACCUGGGAAUGGCCAUGGAAACUGGCGAACUGGAGUGUGGCAGAGGGGGGUGGAAUUCCGCGUGUAGCAGUGAAAUGCGUAGAUAUUGGGAGGAACACCAGUGGCGAAGGCGGUUCUCUGGGCCUUACCUGACGCUGAGGAGCGAAAGCAUGGGGAGCGAACAGG